rnacentral:misc_RNA from 1 species
GGGACUAACUAAUAUAUUUACUAUAAGCAGUGUGAUGUAAUAUGAGUUCUCUUUGGUGUAAUUGGAUUUAUGGAUAGUAUAGUUUUGAGCUUAUAAUGAUGUUUACUUAUUAACGAUAGUGGAAGAUGACAUGCCCGUGGAUGUAGCCCUAUAUUGAGAGAGUGAACCACAUAAAUAUUAGUAUUUUAUGUGUUUACUUUAUUUCUUUGUAUUUUACACACUUCUGCAAUACACAACAUUGUGUCAAUUGAUUUGGAUUUACUGCUAUGGUUAUUUGCCCACAAUUGCUAACAUAAAAAUUGCAGGACGUAUUAAGUUGAUGUCCUAAACUUAGCAAUCUUUUUUGUACUAGUUCUAUGAGCUAAUUAUGUAUUUUUUUUUUUUAAUUUGUUCUUACAGGGAAGAUGCAGGUCUUUUAGGAUU